AGUGAACGCUGGCGGUAGGCCUAACACAUGCAAGUCGAACGGCAGCACAGUAAGAGCUUGCUCUUACGGGUGGCGAGUGGCGGACGGGUGAGGAAUACAUCGGAAUCUACUUUUUCGUGGGGGAUAACGUAGGGAAACUUACGCUAAUACCGCAUACGACCUACGGGUGAAAGCAGGGGAUCUUCGGACCUUGCGCGAUUGAAUGAGCCGAUGUCGGAUUAGCUAGUUGGCGGGGUAAAGGCCCACCAAGGCGACGAUCCGUAGCUGGUCUGAGAGAAUGAACAGUCACAAUGGAAAGGAGAAAAGGUACAGACGACUAAGGGAGGCCGGAGGAGGGAAUGAACAACAAAGGGAGCAAGGCUGAAGAAGCAAUGCAGGGGGAGUGAAGAAGGGCGUCGGGUAGUAAAACACUUGUAUUAGGAAAGAAUAAAAGUGGGAGAAAAAAUGAAUGUGCGGAAGGUACCGAAGGAGUAAGCAACGGCGAAAUAAGGG
rnacentral:rRNA from 1 species